UUGAAGCUGCCAGUAUGAUCAGAUUCCAAUUUUACCUUGAAAAUAUUGAAAGCACUUUAAAGGUAUAUUUAAAUUAGCAUCCAAGUAAGUAACCUGGGUUAUUUCGAUAAAUUGUGCAAUAUCAAAGGGAGUAUUUUAUUGCUCCUUCGAAACACAAUCAUACAGUAAGACCAUACAGUGGUCCAGACCAUAAGUAUCCAUAGAUCCCUGGCAAGCACAACAUGCUGUAAUUGUUUUCAUU
rnacentral:miRNA from 1 species